UAGGGAAUCUUCGGCAAUGGACGGAAGUCUGACCGAGCAACGCCGCGUGAGUGAAGAAGGUUUUCGGAUCGUAAAGCUCUGUUGUAAGAGAAGAACGAGUGUGAGAGUGGAAAGUUCACACUGUGACGGUAUCUUACCAGAAAGGGACGGCUAACUACGUGCCAGCAGCCGCGGUAAUACGUAGGUCCCGAGCGUUGUCCGGAUUUAUUGGGCGUAAAGCGAGCGCAGGCGGUUAGAUAAGUCUGAAGUUAAAGGCUGUGGCUUAACCAUAGUACGCUUUGGAAACUGUUUAACUUGAGUGCAAGAGGGGAGAGUGGAAUUCCAUGUGUAGCGGUGAAAUGCGUAGAUAUAUGGAGGAACACCGGUGGCGAAAGCGGCUCUCUGGCUUGUAACUGACGCUGAGGCUCGAAAGCGCGGGGAGCAAACAGGAUUAGAUACCCUGGUAGUCCACGCCGUAAACGAUGAGUGCUAAGUGUUAGGGGGUUUCCGCCCCUUAGUGCUGCAGCUAACGCAUUAAGCACUCCGCCUGGGGAGUACGACCGCAAGGUUG
rnacentral:rRNA from 1 species